AUUGAACGCUGGCGGCAGGCCUAACACAUGCAAGUCGAGCGGCAGCGGAAAGUAGCUUGCUACUUUGCCGGCGAGCGGCGGACGGGUGAGUAAUGUCUGGGAAACUGCCUGAUGGAGGGGGAUAACUACUGGAAACGGUAGCUAAAACCGCAUAACGUCGCAAGACCAAAGAGGGGGACCUUCGGGCCUCUUGCCCUCAGAUGGGCCCAGAUGGGAUUAGCUAGUAGGUGUGGUAAUGGCUCACCUAGGCGACGAUCCCUAGCUGGUCUGAGAGGAUGACCAGCCACACUGGAACUGAGACACGGUCCAGACUCCUACGGGAGGCAGCAGUGGGGAAUAUUGCACAAUGGGCGCAGGCCUGAUGCAGCCAUGCCGCGUGUAUGAAGAAGGCCUUCGGGUUGUAAAGUACUUUCAGCGGGGAGGAAGGUGUUGAGGUUAAUAACCUCAGCAAUUGACGUUACCCGCAGAAGAAGCACCGGCUAACUCCGUGCCAGCAGCCGCCGUAA
rnacentral:rRNA from 1 species